rnacentral:rRNA from 1 species
UUAAGUGCGGACGGUGAGUAACGCGUGGGUAACCUGCCGUAUACAGGGGGAUAACACUUAGAAAUAGGUGCUAAAACCGCAUAAGCGCACAGCGCCGCAUGGCGCAGUGUGAAAAACUCCGGUGGUAUACGAUGGACCCGCGUCUGAUUAGCCAGUUGGCAGGGUAACGGCCUACCAAAGCGACGAUCAGUAGCCGGCCUGAGAGGGUGGACGGCCACAUUGGGACUGAGACACGGCCCAAACUCCUACGGGAGGCAGCAG